rnacentral:rRNA from 1 species
UACGUAGGGGGCAAGCGUUGUCCGGAAUUACUGGGCGUAAAGCGCACGCAGGCGGACUGAUAAGUCAGACGUAAAAGGCACGGGCUUACCCUGUGUAAGACAUCUGAUACUGUCAGUCUAGAGUAUGUGAGAGGGAAGUGGAACUCCCGGUGUAGCGGUGAAAUGCGUAGAUAUCGGGAAGAACACCAGUGGCGAAGGCGGCUUCCUGGCACAAGACUGACGCUCAUGUGCGAAAGCUAGGGUAGCGAACGGG